rnacentral:rRNA from 1 species
GACGAACGCUGGCGGCGUGCUUAACACAUGCAAGUCGAACGGAAAGGCCCUGCUUUUGUGGGGUGCUCGAGUGGCGAACGGGUGAGUAACACGUGAGUAACCUGCCCUUGACUUUGGGAUAACUUCAGGAAACUGGGGCUAAUACCGGAUAGGAGCUCCUGCUGCAUGGUGGGGGUUGGAAAGUUUCGGCGGUUGGGGAUGGACUCGCGGCUUAUCAGCUUGUUGGUGGGGUAGUGGCUUACCAAGGCUUUGACGGGUAGCCGGCCUGAGAGGGUGACCGGCCAGAGUGGGACUGAGAUACGGCCCAGACUCCUACGGGAGGCAGCAGUGGGGAAUAGUGCACAAUGGGCGGAAGCCUGAUGCAGCAACGCCGCGUGCGGGAUGACGGGCUUCGGGUUGUAAACCGCUUGCGCCUGUGACGAAGCGUGAGUGACGGUAAUGGGUAAAGAAGCACCGGCUAACUACGUG